ensembl:lncRNA
UACAUCUGGGGCCUGUUGCACAAAAGUAGAAUUAAGACAUCCGGGAUAAAUGACUCAGCUGAGCUCAAUGAAGCCAAAACAUGUGCGUCCAGGCUUAAUUGGUUGCACAAAGACCAAGCCAGGAUGAGCAGACACGGAUUCAUUAAGCCAGGUGAAACCAAUCCUGGAUAGGUGCGCGCUCACGGCUCACUCAAAUAGACCCCGCCACAGAUCACAGAUUAACUGAUUUACCAUGGCAACUAGAGCCGCGUACUUUUCCCCGUCGGAAGCACAAAUCCUCAUGGAGGCAUACGAGGAGGUAAAAUAUAUAAUUAAGAAGAAAGGCAACACCGCCACAGUGAUAAAGCAAAGAGAAAAAGCGUGGCAAAGUAUUGCAGACCGCCUGAAUGCGUAAGUAGUGCACAAUUACACAGUCACCGCUCCGCUGAAACAUCACAAUUACAAUUCAAAUAUUUAAUUCACAUCUCCAAAAAUGCAGUUGUACUGUAAUUAUGAAACGGUUAAAUUUUUAAUUGAAAUGCACUGCAGAUAUGAGUGAAAUUGUGUAAAGUAACUCCAUCACACUGUAUAAAGCUAUGAUAGAUUUUUUUGAUAUUUUUACUGAAAACAAGACAAAAAUACCAAGUAAUUUUUUGCAGUGUGACUCCAUUAAAUGUGUGUGUGUGUGUGUGUGUGUGUGUGUGUGUAGAUUAAACAUGAACGGGCCAAAACGGACAUGGCAGCAGGUCAAAAUCAAAUACAAGAACAUUCUGCAGAAUGCAGUGAAAAAGAAUACCCACAGACAAGGCACGGGUGGUGGGUCACCAAAGGCUGACCUUACCCCAGCAGAGGACAUGGCCUUGGAGCUAAAUAAAGGCAGGCCCGUCUUAGAGGGGAUCCCUGGGGGGAAAGAGACGAGCAUAGGUUCCUCCCAAGAUGCCACCCGCUUCAUUCAAGUGUCUGGCAGCACUGUGUUCCUGUUAGAGCCACCAGCACAAGCACCAGACGAUGCUGAUCCAGUGAGUACUCCAUCAAAGGCAUACUGUAGGCCUGGCAUGUCUUGUCUACUAGCUUCAAUAUGAAUCCGAUUAAAUGUGAUAGGGUGAAGGCCCCAGUACAGCAGCAACAGCACAUGAUGGAGACGAUGAUGAGGAGGAGACCAUCUCUCUGGAUUCCAGAAGGCAUGAGGUAUCAUGUUAAGACUGUGAAAGUACUAUUUACUCUACAAUGGUGAGGAGUCCUCAUCAAAAUCAAAAAAUCUAAUUUCUUUUACAGGACCCAGAUGCUAUACAGUGGGAAAACCAGCCUGGCAACAUAGUGCGUAUUAAUAAAAGGACACCACAUCCUGCCAAAUUCCAGCUGCGCUAAUUGUAUUGUGUUCACAGAGCUCACAAGCUAUCAGAAAGUUGUAUGGCAACCACCUCCGGCGCCAAAUAGAACUGGCAGACAUAGACAUUCAGUACAAGAAGAAAAAGAUGGAAAAUCUUGCACUGGAGUCCGAAAUAAAAAAGAGGACAAUUAGGAAACUGGACCUUGAAAUAAAAAAACUUGAGAGGGAGGUGAGAUAUGCCUUCAAUGUACACUGUAUGCUAACUGUAACACAAAUGUAUUAAUCAUUAUUUUUCUUUCCUCCCCCAGCUCCAAGAAGAUGACACAGCUCAAAAUAAAAAUUAGGUAUAUUCUCGUAAAGUCAAGUGAGCCAUGACAUAUGAGCUCUUAUUGUGAGCACACAGGACGGUGGCAUCUUUCUAAGGUUUUUUUUAUUUUCCCAGCAAUCAGUACAACCAAGUCAUCGUUAUAAGGCAUCGCCCUCUUUUGCCCACCCCCCCAGCAUC